rnacentral:lncRNA from 1 species
UUUUAAACAUCUUUUUUUUUUUUUUUUUUUUUUUUUGGCGGGGGGGGGGGGGGGUGGUUGGUGUUUCGAAAGAGUCAGGAGGAGGAAAACGAGGCGCUGUUAGAAAAGGUUCUCUUCGAAUAUUGCCAACAAGUCGCUCUGGAAAUUCAUGUCGAUCGUAGCUGCCAUCUGCGGGGAGAGGAGGAAGGGGGCGUCAAGGGGGCGCCGAGGACGUCAGGGUGGCAUUGGGGGCAUCAAGGUGACAUUGGGGGCAUCAAGGUGGCAUUAGGGGCAUCAGGGUGGCAUUGGGGGCAUUGGGGUGGCAUUGGGUUGGCAUUGGGGGCAUCAGGGUGGCACCAAGGGAGUCAAGGUGGCAUUGGGGGCAUUGGGGUGGCAUUGGGGGCAUCAAGGUGGAAUUGGGGGCAUCAAGGUGGCACCAAGGGAGUCAAGGUGGCAUUGGGGGCAUCGGGGUGGCACUGGGGGCAUCAAGGACAUCAUGGUGGCAUUAGGGGCAUCAGGGUGGCACAGGGGGCAUCUAAGUGGCACCAGGGACAUCAAGGUUGCACCAAGAGAGUCAAGGUGGCAUUGGGGACGUCAAAGUGGCACCAAGGAUGUUAAGG